rnacentral:rRNA from 1 species
ACUCCUACGGGAGGCAGCAGUGGGGAAUUUUUGGCAAUGGGGGAAACCCUGACCAAGCAACGCCGCGUGGGUGAUGAAGUCUCUUGGGACGUAAAACCCUUUCGACGGGGACGAAACCGCAAGGUUGACGGUACCCGUAGAAGAAGCCCCGGCUAACUCCGUGCCAGCAGCCGCGGUAAUACGGGGGGGGCAAGCGUUGUUCGGAAUUACUGGGCGUAAAGGGCGCGUAGGCGGCUCACUAAGUCGGAUGUGAAAACUCUGGGCUCAACCCAGAGCCUGCAUCCGAAACUGGUGGGCUAGGGUGCUGGAGGGGAAAGCGGAAUUCCUGGUGUAGCGGUGAAAUGCGUAGAUAUCAGGAGGAACACCGGUGGCGAAGGCGGCUUUCUGGACAGUAACCGACGCUGAGGCGCGAAAGCUAGGGGAGCAAACAGGAUUAGAUACCCUGGUAGUCCUAGCCCUAAACGAUGGAUACUUGCUGUGAGGGGGAUUGAAUCCCUUCGUGGCGAAGCUAACGCAUUAAGUAUCCCGCCUGGGGAGUACGGUCGCAAGGCUGAAACUUAAAGGAAUUGACGG